AGCGAACGCUGGCGGCAUGCCUAACACAUGCAAGUCGAGCGCUCCCAGCAAUGGGGGGAGCGGCGGACGGGUGAGUAACGCGUAGGAACGUAUCCUGAGGUGGGGGAUAACCCUGGGAAACUAGGGGCUAAUACCGCAUGAUGGCGAGAGCCCAAAGAUUUAUCGCCUUGGGAGCGGCCUGCGUCUGAUUAGCUUGUUGGUGGGGUAACGGCCUACCAAGGCGAUGAUCAGUAGCUGGUCUGAGAGGAUGAUCAGCCACACUGGGACUGAGACACGGCCCAGACUCCUACGGGAGGCAGCAGUGGGGAAUAUUGGACAAUGGGCGAAAGCCUGAUCCAGCAAUGCCGCGUGGAUGAAGAAGGUCUUCGGAUUGUAAAGUCCUUUCGGCGGGGACGAUGAUGACGGUACCCGCAGAAGAAGCCCCGGCUAACUUCGUG
rnacentral:rRNA from 1 species